rnacentral:tRNA from 1 species
CAGACGUUAGCUCAGAGGUAGAGCAGUGGCGCGUCCACGUGUCGCCGGUUCGACUCCGGCACGUC